rnacentral:rRNA from 1 species
UACGAAGGGGGCAAGCGUUGUUCGGAAUUACUGGGCGUAAAGGGCGCGUAGGCGGCUUACCAAGUCAGGCGUGAAAUUCCCGGGCUCAACCUGGGGGCUGCGCUUGAUACUGGUGAGCUUGAAUGCGGGAGAGGAUAGUGGAAUUCCCAGUGUAGAGGUGAAAUUCGUAGAUAUUGGGAAGAACACCAGUGGCGAAGGCGACUCACUGGACACAUAUUGACGCUGAGGUGCGAAAGCGUGGGGAGCAAACAGG